GUGCAGCCACAGGACAAGAUGUACCCCCUGUGGAUGUGUAUCAGUAAUAUCACUUUUGCCAAGAAUCUUAGGAAUGUUUGCUUGAAAUUUUCUUUUCCUAUGGUCUUUCUGAUGGAAUUUCCUGGAAGGCUUAGGGGACACUGAUGUCUGUACAGUGUAGUGGCUGAGAUCCCGAGCUUUGAAGUUAGGCAGAUGUAAGCAUGAAUC
rnacentral:lncRNA from 1 species